AGGAAAUGGUUUUUUCUUCAUUGGGUGACACAGUCUGAUAACAAACACUUCCUUCACGUUCACCAAUUUGGAGGACUUCCAGAGACAAUAGAUGUAAGGAGUACAUAUGAAGUACUGUACUCCAGUUCAACCUGCCUAAUUUUAAUUAUGGGCAUGCUUCCUAAAGGAAACA